AAAUCGCUGUGAAGAUGCAGUGUACCCGCGGCUAGACGGAAAGACCCCGUGAACCUUUACUACAGCUUGGCACUGAACAUUGAACCUACAUGUGUAGGAUAGGUGGGAGGCUAUGAAGACGUGACGCCAGUUGCGUUGGAGCCGUCCUUGAAAUACCACCCUUGUAUGUUUGAUGUUCUAACUUAGACCCGUUAUCCGGGUUGAGGACAGUGCCUGGUGGGUAGUUUGACUGGGGCGGUCUCCUCCCAAAGAGUA
rnacentral:rRNA from 1 species